rnacentral:rRNA from 1 species
UGCAGUCGAGCGGUAGAGAGAAGCUUGCUUCUCUUGAGAGCGGCGGACGGGUGAGUAAUGCCUAGGAAUCUGCCUGGUAGUGGGGGAUAACGUUCGGAAACGGACGCUAAUACCGCAUACGUCCUACGGGAGAAAGCAGGGGACCUUCGGGCCUUGCGCUAUCAGAUGAGCCUAGGUCGGAUUAGCUAGUUGGUGGGGUAAUGGCUCACCAAGGCGACGAUCCGUAACUGGUCUGAGAGGAUGAUCAGUCACACUGGAACUGAGACACGGUCCAGACUCCUACGGGAGGCAGCAGUGGGGAAUAUUGGACAAUGGGCGAAAGCCUGAUCCAGCCAUGCCGCGUGUGUGAAGAAGGUCUUCGGAUUGUAAAGCACUUUAAGUUGGGAGGAAGGGUUGUAGAUUAAUACUCUGCAAUUUUGACGUUACCGACAGAAUAAGCACCGGCUAACUCUGUGCCAGCAGCCGCGGUAAUACAGAGGGUGCAAGCGUUAAUCGGAAUUACUGGGCGUAAAGCGCGCGUAGGUGGUUUGUUAAGUUGGAUGUGAAAUCCCCGGGCUCAACCUGGGAACUGCAUUCAAAACUGACUGACUAGAGUAUGGUAGAGGGUGGUGGAAUUUCCUGUGUAGCGGUGAAAUGCGUAGAUAUAGGAAGGAACACCAGUGGCGAAGGCGACCACCUGGACUAAUACUGACACUGAGGUGCGAAAGCGUGGGGAGCAAACAGGAUUAGAUACCCUGGUAGUCCACGCCGUAAACGAUGUCAACUAGCCGUUGGAAGCCUUGA